UACGUAGGGCGCAAGCGUUGUCCGGAAUUAUUGGGCGUAAAGAGCUCGUAGGCGGUCUGUCGCGUCCGUUGUGAAAACUCGAGGCUCAACCUCGGGCUUGCAGUGGAUACGGGCAGACUAGAGUGCGGUAGGGGAGACUGGAAUUCCUGGUGUAGCGGUGGAAUGCGCAGAUAUCAGGAGGAACACCGAUGGCGAAGGCAGGUCUCCGGGCCGCAACUGACGCCUGAGGCGCGAAAGCUAGGGGAGCAAACGGG
rnacentral:rRNA from 1 species